UACGUAGGGUGCAAGCGUUUGUCCGGAAUUAUUGGGCGUAAAGAGCUCGUAGGCGGUUUGUUGCGUCGGCUGUGAAAUCCCGAGGCUCAACCUCGGGUCUGCAGUCGAUACGAGCAAACUAGAGUGUUGCAGGGGGAGACUGGAAUUCCUGGUGUAGCGGUGAAAUGCGCAGAUAUCAGGAGGAACACCGGUGGCGAAGGCGGGGUCUCUGGGCAACAACUGACGCUGGAGGAGCGAAA
rnacentral:rRNA from 1 species